AUUCCCGAAGAAGACCUGCCUAUGAAGUCAUCUAAUAAAAUUGCCUCACCCGCCUGGUUCUGUCAGCCCUCAGAGAAGACAGAAGUGCUCUGACUCCUGGUGGCUGGGAGGCUAUCUGGAGCCUUAGCCCUUCACCACUUUGGGGAUUGUUUGGAAUCAAGUUUCCCAGCCGGCCCGUCUAAGGUUUUGAUUGGAUGGCCCAUCAGCUCUUCCCAGUUUGAUUCCCAAGUUACAAAUCUGGAGGCAAAGCCAAGUUCCUGUGAUGAAAAACCAGAAAGAAAAUAUUUAGGUGAGUUUUUGUUUGGGCAGUUAUCGAAUAGAAGAAACAGCAUGCGCUCUUGUUAGGAGAAACCUGGGGAUUCGCCCUGCUCAUUGCCUUGUGGAGAACCUGGAAAUACUUUAGUGGAAAGAAGGGAGUUGAUUCAAGUCCAAUCUUGACAAGGAAGCAUAUUUUUCUCCAUCCCAAAUCCUGUCUAGGUGAGGAGUUGUGGAGGUUAGCUAGCUCUUGGGUGUUCUAAUUGAGACUAUACAUGGGAAAGCCAAGCAUUUCUGGGCAACCUUGAUUCUUGGAGCCUUCUUUCCUCUUGUUUGGAAUCCUCCUGUCUUUUUCCUUGAAAGCCAAGUUGACCCACACCUCCUGAGCUGGUGUCUCUAUCUUUCCAUUUAGACGUAUUAUCUUUUUGUAAGUCAACCUUUACAGGUGGGCAGGCUGUCUUGUGUUGCAGACACCACAUUUUUUUUUAGAAUUUAGAAUACCAUAGGUAAAUGGAUGGGCUGUUAAAAGACUGGGGAAGGAGGAGGGGAAAACAGGCCCAUGGUAAGAGGUCCCUCUUCUGUUUACACUGCAGAUGGAAUGAGAAGCCACGCCAGCCCUGCCCCCAAGCACUGUUCAUUUGAGUUUCCAAGCACUGUUCAUUUGAGUUUUAAAUAAUCAGGUUGCCUUUAAGCAGAAGCUAUGUCUCCUAGCUCCGAUAGAUAGCAUUUUGGUCUCCGUUGUUACAGCAUUACCUGUAGCGAUCUGAUUGUCAGAGCCCCUGUUGUUACUGUUUCUUAGCGAUCUGAUUGUCAGAGCCCCUGUUGUUACUGUUUCUUAGCGAUCUGAUUGUCAGAGCCCCUGCUACUGUUUCUUGUGCUUGCCUACUUGAUCACAGUGUAUCUAACUUUUGAAACAGUAGACUUAUUAUAUCGUCAUUUACUGCAUGUCUAUGGCCUUAUACUUGAUUCUUGUCACAGUGCAUUUUGUGUUGGCCAGCAGAGGAGGAAAGUUUGAGUCUGUUAAGUUGCUUCUAAAAUAAAAGAUAAAUCAAGGGGGUUAUGUGCAGGUCUUAAAAUAAAGUUGUGCUAAGUCUGAUAUGGUUUACAGUGUUCCUGGGGUCACAGCUACUCUGGAGGUAGAGGCAGAAGGACUUAAAAAGACUUAUGGAGAUCAGGAGUUUGAAGCCAGCCUGGGUACCAUAGUGAAACCCUGUCUCUGGAAAAAGAAAAUAACAUGGUUUCGUUUUUGUGGCUGAGAGUGUUUGCCUAGCAUCAAGAAGAUUUAAAUAAAUCCCCAGCAUCAUGGGAGGAGGGGGGAAGGGAGGCAAGGAAAAGAGAAGGAAAAGGUUGGUCAAAAGGAGAGGAAGAAAAUCAAAGAUAAGAAAGGAAGGGAAAUUUUGGCCUGACGCGCUCUAGGUCUGCUUGAAGAGUUGGCUCGGUCAGUAAAGUGCUCGCCUUACACACAUGUGAACUCUGUCUGUAGCAUCCGUAUUAAAAGCCAGGUGUGGUGAUGCACAUCCCAUAGUCUCAGCAAUAAUGACAUGGGACGCAGACAGGAGGAUUAUCCACUCAACUGGCCAGCUAGCCUGGCCUAGGUAGCCGACUUCCAGGACAAGGAGGACCAGUUUCAAAUACAAGGUAGAAGGCAGCUGAAGACCAAUGACACUCUCAAUGUUGUCCUCUGGCUUCCACACGCACUACAUGUAAGAGUGUAAAACACACACAUACACAUACACACAAAAUUAGCAUAUCCUCCCAGGAAGUAGAGCACAGGCCUUUGUGGGGCAGUGGAAAGCUUGCUGGAGAAGAGCACCCAUCUUCCUUGUUUCUUCCUAGAUUAUAGCACACCCUUACUAAUGGGUCACGCUGAUGCAUGGUGUUCUCCCCUAAUAGUUCCUACUUGAGCACAGUGCCCUCCACUAAUGCUUCCCUUUGGAAACAAUACACCCACCCUGCCCCAUGAUUCCUACUAGAACAACACUGCCUACUAAUUGUUGUUGUGCCAUUGUAGUGUUAAGCCAGGGGUGUUUCUUCUUCUUCCUGGGUGUGUGUGUUUUUUUUUUUAAAUCCUCCCACUGGUGACAUUCCAUGCUGAUAUUUUCUGUUGUGGGGUGACUUGGCACUAUAGGACCUCUGGUACCUUCCCACCUCCAGGGACCAGAACCUCCUCACCACCCUACCUCCCAAGAAAAGCGCCUAGAUAUGGACACAUGGUCCCACAAGACUAAGUCACCCAGAUGAGCGCUGUAUGGGUGCCAUGUCACUGUCAGGGUACUUGUAGCUGACUGCUAGGGCCAUAUCUUUGACCCACCAAGAUUUAAGAUGAUUAUAACCAUUAAUUUCCUACUUCCCAAUGAGCCCUGCCCGUACCAUGUAGCCCACAUACAGAGGGCAAAGCAUUUGGGGGUCAUGAUAUCUGCGCCCAAUGUAGAUACCAACAACACUCUAAUCACAGGUUUGGCUCGGAAAGGCUCUGGUACAAGGUCACUUUACCAGUAGGUAAUUCCCUGCCCAAAGGUCCAUUCCUGGCGGCAGACACUCCCUCCCUUCAAGGCUCAGAACUCAUCAGGUUUCCAGAAGAUACACAUUUAAGUAAAGAUAUGGUUUUAGAACACGGUGUAUGUUCAUAUCAGCAGGAAAGCUUCCCUAUGGCCUUCUUCUUCUUUUUUUUUUUUUAAAGGAACUUUAAUUUUGCAAUAGUAAAAGAAAAAAGAAGAAGAAGCAAUUAAUCAGGCUUUCUCCAGAGGCCUGUUGUGGGAGGAGUUAUACCCUGUAGUGGGGUUCUAUAGCAAGGACAAGAAUGGACUCAAGUUGAAUUUGAGGGCAGUGGGAACAGGGUGUGUGUGGUAAGGGGGGCAGUGGGAAAUUGCACCCAGGUGAGGACAUUGAUCUUGUUAUAAGAGGCUUCUCAGGGCCAGAGAGAUGGCUCAGUGGUUAAGAGCACCGUCUGUUCUUCCAGAAGUCCUGAGUUCAAUUCCCAGCAACCACAUGGUGGCUCACAACCAUCUGUAAUGAGAUCUGAUGCCCUCUUCUAGUGUGUCUGAAGACAGCGACAGUGUACUGACAUACAUAAAAUAAAUGUUAAAAAAAAAAUAGAGGCUUUUCCUUGGGGACAAGCCAAAUGAUAAUAAAGCUGCCCUUU
rnacentral:lncRNA from 1 species